rnacentral:other from 1 species
AAUGCCCUGGGGUGUACGUGAUCGCCUGUGUGUUUUUUGAGCCAACGAUCAGAAAACAGGGUGCCGGCCCCGCGGACUGGUGCGCAUGCCCGCAAUUGAUGCGGGGAGCCUGAAGGUCUGCGGUAGGCGCCCACCAUGCUAGCCAUGGUUCAAAAACUCGGGCGACACGGCUCUCUGGGGAAUUG